rnacentral:ncRNA from 1 species
GUCCGGCGAUCCGCGGAGGAGAAUAGGGAAGCGGGUGAAAGUCCCGCGCGGUCCCGCCGCUGUAACCGUCUGUCAAGUCGCAUUCGCCACUGGUCUCAUGACCGGGAAGGCGGAUGAGCCGGAAUUGGACGGAAGCCAGAAGACCUGCCUGCCC